GUGAACGCUGGCGGUAGGCCUAACCCAUGCAAGUCGAACGGCAGCACAGUAAGCGCUUGCUCUUACGGGUGGCGAGUGGCGGACGGGUGGGGAAUACAUCGGAAUCUACUUUUUCGUGAGGGAUAACGUAGGGAAACUUACGCUAAUACCGCAUACGACCUACGGGUGAAAGCAGGGGAUCUUCGGACCUUGCGCGAUUGAAUGAGCCGAUGUCGGAUUAGCUAGUUGGCGGGGUAAAGGCCCACCAAGGCGACGAUCCGUAGCUGGUCUGAGAGGAUGAUCAGCCACACUGGAACUGAGACACGUUCCAGACUCCUACGGGAGGCAGCAGUGGGGAAUAUUGGACCAUGGGCGCAAGCCUGAUCCAGCCAUACCGCGUGGGUGAAGAAGGCCUUCGGGUUGUAAGGCCCUUUUGUUGGGAAAGAAAAGCAGCAGGUUAAUACCCCGCUGUUCUGACGGUACCCAAAGAAUAAGCACCGGCUAACUUCGUG
rnacentral:rRNA from 1 species